rnacentral:lncRNA from 1 species
AACAUUGUAUUAUUCUGCCUCCUAAAAGAAAGUGAACUGAAUCUCUCUUGACUUAUUUGGUCCUUGAUUGAUGUUUUCUUGAGUGUAAUGAUCCUAAAUACAGCCAGAGUUCCAUGACUUCUUUCGUGAAGGGAUUGGGAAUGACAGGUGAACGCAGAUCCAACUCCUGGCUUCUCUUAUGGCAUCUCGGACUCUGGGUUAAUGAGCUGUUCAGCACUGAAGUCUGAGAGUCCUCGGUGCAUCUGCCUCUGUGCCCAGGCAAGGAAAGUCAGCCUGCCAGCCUCAGAACCCGGGUGCUGGCCCAGAGUGGCCCCAGGGUGGGAGCCACCCUAGGGGGAGGAGCCUAGGCUCAGGGGAAGCCCGGAUGGAUGUGAGCCUCAGUUCUGCCACUUAGGGAGAGGAGGAGGGUGGGAGAGGAGGAUUCUGGAGGCCUUGCCCGUUCUCCCACUCCUCCUUCCCCACCCUCCUUCCUUCUGCAAGUGUAUCCUGAGUGCCUGUUCUGGGCCGGGCACUGAUUUGGGUACUGGGAAUACGGCAGUGAACAAGGCAGACUCAUUUCCUACUUUGGUGAAAUUUAUAUUCUGCUGCAGGGAGAAAGAGGAAAUAAAUAGACAAAUAAAUUUGUAAAAGAUCAGACUGUGAUAAAUGUCACUCAGAAAAUUUAUACCAGGUGACGUGGCACUGACAGGGUAGCUCUUUAGGUUGGGAUGUGAGCGAGGCUUCUGAGGGGGGAGUAUUGAAGCUGAAGAUCAGAAUGGCAAAAAAUGAAAUAGGAUCCAUACCGCCAACUCUCUGUGGCCGUUAUGAGGAAUAAGUACGAUUGUAUAUGAAAGUGUUUCAUAGACUCUAAAAUAAAUGCAGCACAUUUUAUAUCUCAUUAGGCAGCAUUCCUUGAGGGCGAGCAUUGUGAUUAGUUAAUAUUUGCAAUCUCACUACCUAGCAUGGUAGUAAGUGUGGGUUGAAAAAACUUAUAUACAUAAAAUUGGGAGUUCAGAAGAGAUUUUUAAGGAAUAAAAUAAGAGGAUAUCUGUGACAGGCCUUUGUUAAAAGAUGAUCAUAUCCCUUCACUCUUGUCAUUACUGGGCUUUCCUGGAGAUUUCCAUACGUGCUGCCCUGGGGAGAGUGGGGAAGGUUCUGUGGGUAUCACAGGGCCGAGAGGGAUGGAGAGGGAUGGACAAUACUGGGGAGUAGACUUCCCGAGGAAGUUCCAGAUUGCUUUUCUUGCUUUUCAGGGUCUUCUUAACCCAGAGCAGAGGUGAACUUAUCUGAAAUUGGGAAGAGAUGCCAUAGGCUCCCUCUUGCCUUCCAGACCUGGGAGGCAGGCUGCCUUCCCAGAUUCCACCGCCUUUGCCCUCCUCCAGCCCUGCUGCGUCUCUCUCUUCCUUCCAGCCCCGGGGCCUGGCUCCUCGGGUGCCCAGGAGACCUCAGUCCAUUCUGCUGACUGUUGGCUGUGACUCUGCAGACCUGCUCCCCUCCCUGCCACCCUCCGUAAGGACUGAGUCAGUGUAGGCCACCUACUGCAUCCACUCGUCUCUUUUGGUGAAUUGUCAGCUGUGGGAUUUGACCAUGCAAUUAGAGGGCAGCUUCUAAAGGACUGAGACCACACCUUCUCCCUGGCUACCUACAGGCUCCGAGUGGGAAGUUUAAGAAGAAACCAAAACUGUUAUUCAGGAGAGCCGCCAGGAGCAGCAAUAAACCUUCCGUGAAAGCUGUGGGGACUGUGAAGGCAGCCUGGCGGAGAUGACCGAGGUUUUAAAACUCUUCUUUCCUCCUCCAGAAAUCGCUC